rnacentral:misc_RNA from 1 species
UACACACAAAGUAACACGGGGAAUCUUUGCUCUUUUACAUGCUAGAAAACCAAUAACAAUUAGAAGGUUGGUCCAGGUAGGACAAAAACCCACGACACAUUCUGACAAACAAACGGAACUAUCGUUAACAGUGGCAGUAACACGAUAAUAAACACUACAAAAAGAUCAAACUAAAUUAGCAGAACUCAAAGAUAUGGAUCAGUAUCAAGUCAAGUAACAACAAAUUAGAAAUAGUUGCGAGAUGAAAAAGCAGUACCCUUAUGAUAGCUGGAGUAAUUUUGACAGAAACAUUUGCACAAAUCAUAAAUAUGCUUCCGGAAAUCAUGGAUAUUAAAUGUAUCACAAAGUGGAAAAUUGCAUACAGUUGUACGUGACCACAUUAUGACUCUUGAUUGUGGAUCGACUACCAAACACCUGUGACCUGAAACUAACCAAUCAACAUGUGUAGAACUAGCCAAUCAACAAUUUUGAUAAAUUAACAAACGUGUAGAUAUAAUCGGAAUCACGCUAUAGAUCAAAGGCCUACGACUGAUCAACCUGUUUGAUGCCAAAGAAAAAAGGUGACAGUCCAUCAAUCAGAAAAUUAAAAACUGUCCCGUCAAAAAGUAGGAAAUAAAAUACAUGGACACCUGUGUGCGUUGGAUGGAAUAUUAUUACACAGAGAAUAAUGAUUUAAUAUCGUAAAUCAAAUUAUGCAGUGUACAUAUUUCACAUAAGGUGCAAGUACUGAAAUAUUGCCAAAAUGUUAUCGAAGAUGUUUUAUAUCGGGGUUCUUACCCCAGCAUGCAUCACUGUCGCCUUUUUCGUGGCUUUUCUCAUCUGCUGGUUUAAAUGUGGACUACGUGAAAAAUUCCUCCGAAAACGAUAUCCAGAACAUUUUAACAAAAAUGAACCGAACGUGCAAUUUACAGACUUAACCUACCGAAAUAGGAAUUGUGGAUUCACAGAAAGGGAUGUUCCGGAAAGUGACGGAGGACGUCAAUUAAGCACCCCAUCAUCAACACAUAGUUAUGAGACAAUGGCAGACUCCCAUUCAGCAGCAGAGAGUGAUCAUAGUUCUAUUAGUAACUCUUCAACUCAGAGAAUGCUUGGAGUUGGAAGCAAAGAAGACCAAAGAAGGUCACAGCCUCAUUUUGAACCUAAGCAGACGGCUUUACCUACCUUUGGUGAAAGCCCCAUCUAUGGGGUACAGCGACAAGGCUGGAAUUAUCCCACCCAGCACCAAGACUAUAUCACCCAAAAACAUACUCAACAAACAAUAAACAAACAAAAUGACAAAUGCAGAUAUACAAAUAAACAAUCAUCAAAUAAUGCAGAAGCACCAUUUUCUACUGACAGUAAAAACAUUACCCAGGAAUGGAUUAAAAAUUACAGAUGCAGUUCGCUAGAAGAUCAUUAUAAACACUGUGUUAUUGGAAUACAUAAUAAUAGCGACAUUAAAACCUCAAAUUAUGUCCCAGGAAAUUAUGUUUCCUCGUCUUACCCAGAAGCCCCAAAAGACAUCACUAGAGGGCAGCAGUAUUUACAAAGCCAAAUAAGAGACUUCAAAGGGUACCAUCCCCCUCCCCCAGAUGUUACCUAUAAUCAUCCCCCAGCACGCCCUGGGACAUACAUCCCCCGUAGUCUGUCUGACACAUAUGGGAUGUUUGUCACUCCCCAGAACUACCCCCAAGUGCAUAGUGGACCCAAUUAUUACCAAGGCAUAGACACUGAUUCAGAAUAUAACAGAGACUACAUGUAUCAACCCCCUAGCCAAAAUGAACAUAGGGUUGCUAUACAAAUGGUGUCAUAGAAUUUGAAAUAAUUUUGUGAUUAGAAGUUAUGAAGAUCAGUCCCCAAAAAUAUGCAUCUAAAUGUUAUCUUCAUGAUGAAAGUUUCAGUUUUAAUGGAAAUCAAGUAUUAUUUCAAAAUUUAUGUGUUGUUAUAAUUUUGAAAUUUUCAGUUUUUAAUGCCUGAGAAAACAGAAAAUCAAAUAUUAUUUUGUCAAUGUAGGUUUCAGUUGUCACACAUUGAGAUACCCUUUUCAAAAAUAAAAGAGUGAUUGAAUUCAUUUUACUCUUUAGAUUUCUGAUAAUCCUUUAACUCUGAGCUUAUCAGAUGCUUAAUCAUUAAAUGAUGGUUCUUGAAAAGUUAACACAUUAUUGCAGCCCUACAAUGUUCUGAUUGGUUGAGCAACUUAGUUAGAGGAUGGCGACUUGGCACUGAGCCCAGGGUAGCAAUACUGUGGAAUACUAAGCCAUAUACUCCCAUCCCGACAUAGCCGUGCCCCCUUUGUCUUAUCCUUCCA